rnacentral:rRNA from 1 species
CCAAUAGCGUAUAUUAAAGUUGUUGCAGUUAAAAAGCUCGUAGUUGAACCUCGGGGUCUACCCAUUGGUCAGGCUUAAUUGUCUGCACUGGUGAGAUGGAUCUCUACCUUCUGAGGAACUUUCAUGCCAUUUAUUUGGUGUGAUGGGAAAUCAGGACUGUUACUUUGAAAAAAUUAGAGUGUUUAAAGCAGACUAUCGUCUGAAUACAUUAGCAUGGAAUAAUGAAAUAGGACGGACUGAUUCUAUUUCGUUGGUUUCUAGGAUCACCGUAAUGAUUAAUAGGGAUAGUUGGGGGCAUUAGUAUUCAAUUGUCAGAGGUGAAAUUCUUGGAUUUAUUGAAGACUAACUACUGCGAAAGCAUUUGCCAAGGAUGUUUUCAUUAAUCAAGAACGAAAGUUAGGGGAUCGAAGACGAUCAGAUACCGUCGUAGUCUUAACCAUAAACUAUGCCGACUAGGGAUCGGAUGAUGUUAAUUUUUUAAUGACUCAUUCGGCGCCUUACG